UACGAAGGGGGCUAGCGUUGUUCGGAAUUACUGGGCGUAAAGCGCACGUAGGCGGAUAUUUAAGUCAGGGGUGAAAUCCCAGAGCUCAACUCUGGAACUGCCUUUGAUACUGGGUAUCUUGAGUAUGGAAGAGGUAAGUGGAAUUGCGAGUGUAGAGGUGAAAUUCGUAGAUAUUCGCAGGAACACCAGUGGCGAAGGCAGCUUACUGGUCCAUAACUGACGCUGAGGUGCGAAAGCGUGGGGAGCAAACAGG
rnacentral:rRNA from 1 species